GGGCAGGCGGGAGAGAGGGCUGGGCCCCUGUGCUUGCGAGAACGGGUCCUUCGAAGUAGAAACUGGGGAGAGGACUUUAAGCCAGGUCCCCUGGGAGAAGGCCGGGCCAGGUCGGGAGCUCCAGGGGGCAAGGCUGGGACGGGGCUGGGCGGAGAUUCUGAGGGCGGGGUCCGGGGGAGGGUCUGGGAGGGGGCUGCAGAGAGGGGAGGGCUCUAUGGGCGGGAGACGAUUGCUGGGGGGGCUGGCCCGGACACCACCUGGAGUUAGAUGUGGAGGGCAGCCCUCAGCCCUCAGCCCCAGCUCCUCAGGGGACUCCACUCGCCCUCCCUGCCCAGGUUACGAGGUUUCUCCUUGGCCUUGUUCCCGCUGCGCCCACUCCUGAAAGCUCCGGAGAUGCUGAAGUCUGGACUGUUAGUUCCCGGUCUCCUCUCCAUGAACUUUCUCCACACCCCUGGGUUCCAGCUUCCUCCCUUUACGGGAAAGGGUGACUGCAACUCGGGUCUCUUCCCAAUCCCAGUGCUGCCUGAUCAGCCCCGGUUUGAAUCCAGAGCUGAGUGAGGCUGGGAAGGGGAGGGUGUGAAUGGCCCUUGAGCUCCUGCUACCACAGCCCGCCACAAGCAUGAGUGCCUGGAAGAGCGCCCAUCACUCGGGCUCAGCUGUGAAGGCUCCUCUGCCUCCAGGAUGAAGGGAGCCCCUGGAGUAGCAUGUGUCACUGUGCGUGCUGGGGUGUGGCUGAGCACCUGUGCCAGUGUUGUGAGACUUACAGUGAGAGUGUGCAUGUGUGUAAAACAGGAAAGGGGGGUGUCUGGGUGUGCGUGUGGCUCUUUCUGAGGACUCCAGAGCAGGAGUUGAUCCCAGUCAUCCGUGACCCCCUGAGAGACUCACUCUGGGCCCUUUUUUGGCCCUGGGACCAAUGGUGAACCCAGGAGAAGGAGAGCCCGGCCCAGCUCUGGUUAACAGAAGCCCCCUUCCUCCCCUAGGUGGAAUGACUCUACAGGAUACUCGGAGGAAUAUCAGGUUUGGGAGACCGAGGGGUGUGGAGUCGGAGCCAGGCUGCAUUCCAGCCCGGGUGUCCGGGUGUGCUCAGAGCUCUGCUGGGACCAGGAUGGACCCCGGAUUCCCCUGUGGAGCCUGUCACUGCCCCUCCCAGCCGGAUUCUCGGAUUAUUUCAUCCGGCUUAGCUCUGCCCCAGGGCUGGGGGAGCUGGCUCCCCCACCCACUCCUUCCAGAGGGUCCUCUCAUUCCUCAGCAUAGGCUCCCCAGUUCUAGACCCCAGAGACUCUAGGAGACCCUCGAAGAAGGAGACAGGAUGGGCCCAACCAGCCACACAUAAUCAUCCCCAGCAAGAAACUGGACCCUGGAGAAAAGGGUACAUGUUGCCCACGCAUCUCCACACACUCAGGAACCCCAGCUACCCUAGAAGUGCUCCCACUCACUGCCCCCGACUCCUGAGUUUGGGCAAGAGAGGGGCGGGAGGCAGGGGAGCACCAUCCAGGCAGAAGUUCAAGGCUGGAAGACCCCAUCAGUCGUUUAGCCCAGGAGCUCUUAACCUUUUCAUGGGGUCAUGGCCCUCUUGAGAAUCUAAUAAAAGUAUAGAACUGUCUUCAGAAAAAUGUGCACACACAAUUUCAAAGAAUUACUGGAGUCUGAGACCUAUUUGUGCAUCCCUGGGAAGUCCCUGAAAUGUUUACUGGGAAGGAAAUUGAGGCCCAGAAAGGGAGGGUGGCUUGCCCAGAGCCCCAUGUUAAUUUGUGGUAGUGCCUGAGAGUGUGAAAAUACACACACACACACACACACACACACACACACACACACACAAAGGGAAACAGAUGCACUGGAAGGGGACAGGAAGGAGACUGUUUCCAGGGAGAGCUGGCCUCUGAGGGGCUGGUGUGGCAGGUCCAAUCUGGUUGUGGGCAGCUGGUGCCCUGGGGCAUGAGACUGGAAUAAAGCCUCCCCAGCCCCCAGAACUGGCCACUGGGCUGCGGGGAGGCUGCGUGGGGCAGGAGAGAGCACCGCUGGCCUCUCUGCCCCCUCUGCAGCAUCGCCUCUCUUGAGCCCAAGCCUCACGUUCCCCAAAGGUGCCCCGGGGGUGAGGGCACCAUGCUGCUCCCUGCCCUCCUCUUUGGGAUGGCGAGGGCCCUGGCUGACGGGUAAGCAGCCCACCCUGGACCCCUCUGACAAGGGUCCUCCUUCUGCCGCAUGCCCAGGGACACUCUGGGGCAUCAGACUCCGUGCCCCCCACCCCCGGGGUCCUCCCUCCACCCCCGCCACUUCCCAUGAGUGUCUCUCCCUACCUUAGCAUCCUCCUUACUUCAAUAACCACCCCUGGGAGUGGUGUCAUAGGACAAGGCUUUUGGUGACAGAGGGAAUGGUGGCAGCAGCUGUGGUUCCCCAUCAUGGGCAGGCGGUGGUGUGAGUGGACAGAGACCAUCUGUGUGGAGGAGGAAGUAGCACCCCGUCAGGAGGACCUGGUACCCUGUGCCAGACUCGACCAUUACAGCCGCCAGGGCUGGCGGCUGGACCUGCCCUGGAGCGGCCGCGCGGGGCUUACCCGGUCCCCAGAGCCUGGGCUCUGUCCUAUCUACAAACCUCCAGAAACCCAGCCUGCCAAGUGGAACCGGACAGUGAGGGCUUGUUGCCCAGGCUGGGAAGGGGCCCACUGCACUGAAGCCCUUGCCAAAGCCAGUCCUGAAGGCCACUGCUUUGCCAUGUGGCAGUGCCAGCUACAGGCAGGCUCAGCUAAUGCCUCAGCAGGAAGCCUGGAGGAGUGCUGCGCCCGGCCCUGGGGACGAAGCUGGUGGGAUGGCAGCUCCCAGGCCUGCCUCAGCUGCUCCAGCCGACACCUGCCAGGCAGUGCCUCUUCUCCAGCCCUCCUGCAGCCCCUGGCAGGGGCUGUGGGCCAGCUCUGGAGCCAGCACCAGCGUCCCUCGGCCACCUGUGCCUCCUGGUCGGGCUUCCACUACCGCACCUUUGAUGGCCGCCACUAUCACUUCCUGGGCCGCUGCACCUACCUGCUGGCGGGUGCUGCGGACUCCACCUGGGCUGUCCACCUAACACCCGGGGACCGCUGCCCCCAGCCUGGACACUGUCAGCGGGUCCAGGUGACUAUGGGACCCAAGGAGGUGCUGAUCCAGGCUGGAAAUGUGUCUGUGAAGGGGCAGCUGGUACCUGAAGGGCAGUCUUGGCUGCUCCACGGGCUGAGCCUGCAAUGGCUGGGGGACUGGCUGGUGCUGUCAGGGGGCCUGGGGGUCGUGGUGCGGCUGGACAGGACUGGCUCCAUCUCCAUCUCUGUGGACCACGAGCUCUGGGGACAGACACAAGGCCUCUGUGGGCUCUACAAUGGCUGGCCAGAGGAUGACUUCAUGGAGCCAGGCGGAGGGCUGGCCAUGUUAGCAGCCACCUUUGGAAAUUCCUGGAGGCUCCCUGGCUCGGAGCCUGGGUGUCUGGAUGCGGUGGAGGUGGCCCAGGGCUGUGACGGCCCCCUGGGGCUCACAGACGCAGAUGUAGAACCUGGCCACCUGCGGGCUGAAGCCCAGGACGUGUGCCAUCAGCUGCUGGAAGGUCCAUUCGGGCAGUGCCAUGCCCAGGUUUCCCCUGCUGAGUACCACGAGACCUGUCUCUUUGCCUACUGCACAGGGGCCAUGGCAGGCAGUGGGCAAGAGGGGCGGCAGCAGGCUGUUUGUGCCACCUUUGCCAGCUAUGUCCAGGCCUGUGCCAGGCGACACAUCCACAUUCGCUGGAGGAAGCCUGGCUUCUGCGAGCGCCUGUGCCCCGGGGGCCAGCUCUACUCCGACUGCGUCUCCCUCUGCCCACCCCAGCUGUGAGGCGGUGGGUCAGGGAGAGGAGGAGUCCUGCAGGGAAGAGUGUGUGAGUGGCUGUGAGUGCCUGCGAGGCCUCUUCUGGAAUGGCACCCUCUGUGUGCCUGCUGCCCACUGCCCCUGCUACUACCGCCGCCAGCGCUAUGCACCCGGUGACACCGUGCGCCAGCUGUGUAACCCCUGUGUGUGCAGGGAUGGCCGCUGGCACUGUGCCCAGGCCCUGUGCCCCGCCGAGUGUGCCGUGGGUGGGGACGGGCACUACCUCACCUUCGAUGGGCGGAGCUACUCCUUCCGGGGUGGUCAAGGUUGCCGCUACAGCCUGGUGCAGGACUAUGUGAAGGGACAGCUACUGAUCCUACUGGAGCAUGGGGCCUGCGACGCUGGGAGCUGCCUCCACGCCAUCUCCGUCUCCCUGGAGGACACCCACAUCCAGCUCAGGGACUCAGGAGCUGUGCUGGUCAAUGGGCAGGAUGUGGGCUUGCCCUGGAUUGGCGCUGAGGGCCUCAGUGUGCGCCGAGCUUCCUCUGCCUUUCUGCUGCUGCGCUGGCCUGGGGCCCAGGUGCUCUGGGGACUGUCUGACCCUGCAGCCUACAUCACCCUGGACCCCCGCCAUGCCCACCAGGUGCAGGGUCUGUGUGGCACCUUCACCCAGAAACAGCAGGACGACUUCCUGACACCAGCCGGAGAUGUGGAAACUAGCAUUGCUGCCUUUGCUAGCAAGUUCCAGGUGGCCGGCAAGGGAAGAUGCCCCUCUGGGGACAGUGCCCUGCUGUCUCCCUGCACCACCCACUCCUAGCGCCACGCCUUCGCAGAGGCGGCCUGUGCCAUCCUGCACAGCUCUGUCUUCCAGGAAUGCCACAGGCUGGUGGACAAAGAGCCAUUCUAUCUGCGCUGCCUGGCAGCCGUGUGUGGCUGUGAUCCCGGCAGGGACUGCCUGUGCCCGGUGCUGUCUGCCUAUGCGCGUCGCUGUGCCCAGGAAGGUGCCUCACCUCCCUGGAGGAACCAGACCCUCUGCCCUGUUAUGUGUCCUGGUGGCCAGGAGUACCGAGAGUGUGCCCCAGCAUGUGGUCAACACUGCAGGGAACCAGAGGACUGUGGAGAGCUGGGCAGCUGUGUGGCUGGUUGUAACUGUCCUCUGGGGCUGCUGUGGGACCCUGAGGGCCAGUGUGUGCCCCCCAGCUUGUGCCCCUGCCAGCUCGGAGCCCGUCGCUAUGCCCCUGGCAGUGCCACCAUGAAAGAGUGCAACCGCUGCAUCUGCCAGGAAAGGGGCCUCUGGAAUUGCAUGGCUCGCCACUGCCCUUCACAGCGGGCAUUCUGCCCCAGGGAGCUUGUCUAUGCCCCUGGUGCCUGUCUCCUCACCUGUGACAGCCCCAGCGCCAGUCACUCCUGCCCUGCAGGCAGUACUGAUGGCUGUGUCUGUCCACCAGGCACGGUGCUGCUGGACGAGCGCUGUGUGCCUCCUGACCUCUGUCCCUGCCGUCACAGUGGGCAGUGGUACCUGCCCAACGCCACCAUCCAGGAAGACUGCAACAUUUGCGUGUGCCGGGGCCGGCAGUGGCACUGCACAGGCCAGCGGUGCAGUGGGCGGUGCCAGGCAUCAGGCGCCCCCCACUAUGUGACAUUUGAUGGACUGGCCUUCACCUAUCCUGGGGCCUGCGAGUAACUGCUGGUGCGAGAGGCCAGUGGCCUAUUCACAGUCUCUGCCCAGAACCUGCCCUGUGGGGCCAGCGGUCUCACCUGCACCAAAGCGCUGGCCGUGCGUCUGGAGGGCACUGUUGUGCACAUGCUCAGAGGCCGGGCAGUGACGGUGAAUGGGGUGAGCGUGACGCCCCCCAAGGUCUACACAGGCCCUGGGCUGAGCCUGCAUCGUGCUGGCCUCUUCCUGCUGCUCUCGACCCGCCUGGGCCUCACCCUGCUCUGGGAUGGAGGGACUCGGGUCCUGGUGCAGCUGUCCCCUCAGUUCCGUAGUCGCGUGGCUGGGCUGUGUGGUGACUUUGAUGGAGAUGCCAGUAAUGAUCUGCGGAGCCGCCACGGCGUCCUGGAGCCCACAGCUGAACUGGCCGCCCACUCCUGGCGCCUCAGCCCCCUCUGCCCUGAGCCAGGAGACCUGCCACACCCCUGCACGAUGAACACACACCGGGCUGGUUGGGCUCGGGCCCGCUGUGGGGCGCUGCUGCAGCCGCUCUUCGCAUCAUGCCAUGCGGAGGUCCCCCCGCAGCAGCACUAUGAGUGGUGCCUGUAUGACGCCUGCGGCUGCGACUCAGGGGGUGACUGUGAGUGCCUCUGCUCGGCCAUUGCCACCUAUGCAGAUGAGUGUGCCCGGCAUGGGCACCACGUGCGCUGGCGUAGCCAGGAGCUCUGCCCCCUGCAGUGUGAAGGGGGACAGGUAUAUGAGGCCUGUGGCCCCACGUGUCCCCCCACCUGCCAUGAGCAGCAUCCUGAGUCCAGGUGGCACUGCCAGGUGGUGGCCUGUGUGGAGGGCUGCUUCUGCCCCGAGGGGACUCUGCUGCACGGAGGAGCCUGCUUGGAGCCAGCUUCCUGCCCCUGUGAGUGGGGCCACAACUCCUUCCCGCCAGGGUCUGUGCUGCAAAAGGACUGCGGGAACUGCACGUGCCAGGAAGGUCAAUGGCAUUGUGGGGGUGACGGUGGCCACUGUGAGGAGCUCGUGCCUGCCUGUGCAGAGGGAGAGGCCCUGUGCCAGGAGAAUGGGCACUGUGUGCCCCAUGGGUGGCUUUGUGACAACCGGGACGACUGUGGCGAUGGCUCUGAUGAGGAGGGUUGUGCCGCCCCAGGCUGUGGGGAGGGGCAGAUGACUUGCAGCUCCGGCCACUGCCUGCCCCUGGCCCUGCUCUGUGACAGCCAGGAUGACUGUGGAGAUGGCACGGAUGAGCAGAGCUGUCCGUGCCCCCAGGGCUUGCUGGCCUGUGCCAAUGGACGCUGCCUGCCGCCGGCCCUACUCUGCGAUGGGCAUCCUGACUGUCCGGACACCGCGGACGAGGAGUCCUGUCUGGGGCAGGUGACCUGCGUCCCCGGGGAGGUGUCCUGUGUCGAUGGCACCUGCCUGGGGGCCAUCCAGCUGUGUGACGGAGUCUGGGACUGUCCAGAUGGAGCCGAUGAGGGGCCGGAACACUGCCCCCUACCUUCUCUGCCCACGCCUCCUGCCAGCACCUUGCCUGGCCCCUCCCCUGGCUCCCUGGACACUGCGUCAAGUCCCCUGGCCAGCGCCAGCCCUGGGCGCUCGCCGGCAGGAGAGGAUCCAGCGCGGACGCUCCCUGCAGCGCCACCCUGCGGCCCCUUCGAGUUUCGGCGCGGCAGCGGCGAGUGCACCCCGCGGGGCUGGCGCUGCUACCAGGAGGAAGACUGCGCCGACGGCAGAGACGAGCGCGGCUGCGGAGGGCCCUGCGCGCCGCACCACGCGCCCUGCGCCCGCGGCCCUCACUGCGUGUCCCCCGAGCAGCUGUGCGACGGCGUGCGGCAGUGUCCCGACGGCUCGGACGAGGGCCCCGACGCCUGCGGUUCCACCCAGCUGCCUCCGUGCCCUGGCCUCUUUCCCUGUGGUGUGGCUCCGGGGCUGUGCCUGACCCCUGAGCAGCUCUGUGAUGGGAUCCCAGACUGUCCCCAGGCACGACUGCCGGCCCUGGGAGGCCCCAACAGGACAGGGCUUCCCUGCCCAGAAUACACCUGCCCCAAUGGCACCUGCAUAGGCUUCCAGCUGGUGUGUGACGGGCAGCCUGACUGUGGAAGGACAGGGCGGGUGGGCCCCUCCCCAGAAGAGCAGGGUUGUGGGGCCUGGGGUCCCUGGAGCCCAUGGGGGCCCUGCAGCCAGACGUGUGGGCCUGGGGGCCAGGGCCAGAGCCGCCGCUGCUCCCCACUCGGCCUCCUGGUGCUACAGAACUGCCCAGGGCCUGAGCACCAGUCUCAGGCCUGCUUCACGGCAGCCUGCCCAGUGGACGGUGAAUGGAGCGCCUGGUCCCCCUGGUCUGUGUGCUCUGAGCCGUGCAGGGGCACCAUGACGCGGCAACGGCAGUGCCACCCACCCCAGAAUGGGGGCCGCACCUGCGCUGCACUGCCCGGAGGCCCGCACAGCACCCGCCAGACCAAGCCUUGCCCUCAGGACAGCUGCCCCAAUGCCACCUGCUCUGGGGAGCUGAUGUUCCAGCCCUGUGCCCCCUGCCCACUGACCUGUGAUGACAUCUCUGGCCAGGUCACGUGCCCACCUGAUCGGCCCUGCGGCAGCCCGGGCUGCUGGUGCCCAGAAGGGCAGGUGCUGGGCAGCGAGGGGUGGUGUGUGUGGCCCUGGCAGUGCCCCUGCCUGGUGGAUGGUGCCCGCUACUGGCCCGGGCAACGCAUCAAGGCCGACUGCCGGCUCUGCAUCUGCCAAGACGGACGGCCCCGACGCUGCCGACUCAACCCGGACUGCACUGUGGACUGUAGCUGGUCCUCCUGGUCACCCUGGGCUGAGUGCCUGGGCCCCUGUGGAAGCCAGAGCAUCCAGUGGUCCUUCCGGAGCCCCAACAACCCCCGCCCCUCCGGCCGAGGUCGCCAGUGCCGUGGCAUCCACCGCAAGGCACGCAGGUGCUCUACGGAGACCUGUGAGGGGUGUGAGCAUCAGGGCCAGGUCCACCGUGUCGGGGAACGCUGGCGUGGGGGCCCCUGCAGGGUGUGCCAGUGUCUGCACAACCUCACCGCACGCUGCUCACCCUACUGCCCGCUCGGCAGCUGCCCCCAGGGCUGGGUCUUGGUGGAGGGGACGGGAGAAUCAUGCUGCCACUGUGCCCUACCUGGAGAGAACCAGACAGUCCAGCCCAUGGCCACUCCUGCCGCAGCUCCAGCUCCCAGUCCCCAGAUCAGAUUCCCUUCGGCCACUUACAUUCUGCCUCCGCCAGGAGACCCCUGCUAUUCUCCCUUGGGGCUGGCCGGACUGGCUGAGGGGAGUCUGCAUGCAUCGUCCCAGCAGCUGGAACACCCCACCCAGGCUGCCCUCCUGGGGGCUCCCACCCAGGGGCCCAGCCCUCAGGGAUGGCACGCUGGAGGGGAUGCUUAUGCCAAGUGGCACACUCGGCCCCAUUACCUGCAGCUGGACCUGCUUCAGCCUUGGAACCUCACUGGCAUCAGAGUGCCGGAGACUGGCUCCUCCAUCGCAUAUGCCAGCAGCUUCUCACUCCAGUUCAGCAGCAAUGGUCUACACUGCCAUGACUAUCGUGACCUCCUGCCUGGCAUCUUGCCCCUGCCCAAGCUUUUCCCCAGAAACUGGGAUGACCUGGACCCUGCCGUAUGGACUUUCGGCCCCAUGGUGCAGGCGAGGUUUGUCAGGGUGUGGCCCCACGAUGUCCACCACAGCGAUGUCCCCCUGCAGGUGGAGCUGCUGGGCUGCGAUUGCGAGCCAGGGUCCCCACCGGCACCUCUGUGCCCAGGGGUUGGACUCCGCUGUGCCAGUGGUGAGUGUGUCCUGAGAGGGGAACCAUGUGACGGUGUUCUGGACUGCGAGGAUGGCUCGGAUGAGGAGGGCUGUGUGUUGCUGCCUGAGGGCACUGGCAGAUUCCAUUCCACAGCCAAGACCCUGGCCCUCUCCUCUGCCCAGCUGGGGCAGCUGCUGCAGUGGCCCAGGGAGGGCCUGGCAGAGACUGAGCACUGGCCUCCCGGGCAGGAAUCCCCCACGUCCCCGACAGAGACAAGGCCCGUGAGUCCUGGCCCAGCCUCCGGGGUGCCUCACCAUGGGGAAUCUGUGCAGAUGGUGACCACCACCCCCAUACCCCAGAUGGAGGCCAGGACCCUGCCACCAGGUAUGGCAGCUGUGACGGUGCUGCCCCCACACCCUGUGACUCCAGCGACCCCUGCUGGCCAGAGCGUCGCCCCAGGACCCUUCCCACCUGUGCAGUGUGGCCCUGGCCAGAUGCCCUGUGAGGUGCUAGGCUGCGUGGAACAGGCGCAGGUGUGUGAUGGCAGGGAGGACUGCCUCGACGGCUCCGACGAGAGGCACUGCGCGAGCACUGUGCCCUUCAUGGUGCCUACCACGGCCCUGCCUGGGCUUCCAGCCUCAAGGGCCCUCUGUUCCCCAAGCCAGCUGAGCUGUGGCAGCGGGGAGUGUCUGUCUGCUGAGCGGCGCUGUGACCUGCGGCCUGACUGCCAGGAUGGCUCAGACGAGGAUGGCUGUGUGGACUGCGUGCUGGCCCCCUGGUCUGUCUGGAGCAGCUGCAGCCGCAGCUGUGGCCUGGGCCUCACCUUCCAGCGCCAGGAGCUGCUGCGGCCUCCUCUGCCAGGGGGCAGCUGCCCGCGUGACCGGUUCCGAAGCCAGUCCUGCUUUGUGCAGGCCUGCCCAGUGGCUGGGGCAUGGGCCAUGUGGGAGGCCUGGGGACCCUGCAGCGUCUCCUGCGGGGGUGGCCAUCAGAGUCGCCAGAGAAGCUGUGUGGACCCCCCACCCAAGAAUGGCGAUGCCCCCUGCCCUGGGGCCUCCCAAGAGAGGGCACCCUGCGGCUUGCAGCCCUGCUCAGGUGGCACAGACUGCGAGCUGGGCCAUGUGUAUGUGAGUGCCGAUCUGUGCCAGAAGGGGCUGGUGCCCCCAUGCCCACCCUCCUGCCUGGAUCCCAAGGCCAACAGAAGCUGCAGUGGGCAUUGUGUGGAAGGAUGCUGCUGUCCCCCAGGGCUCCUUCUGCAUGACACUCGCUGCCUGCCCCUCUCUGAGUGCCCCUGCCUGGUGGGCGAAGAGCUGAAGUGGCCAGGGGUGUCCUUCCUCCUGGGCAACUGCAGCCAAUGCGUGUGUGAGAAGGGGGAGUUGCUGUGCCAACCAGGGGGCUGCCCCCUGCCCUGCGGCUGGUCAGCCUGGUCCUCCUGGGCUCCCUGCGACUGCUCCUGUGGCUCUGGAGUGAGGGCCAGGUUCAGGUCUCCCUCCAACCCUCCGGCAGCCUGGGGGGGUGCCCAGUGUAAAGGUGACCGGCAGGAACUGCAGGGCUGCCACACAGUGUGUGGGACAGAGGUGUUGGGUUGGACGCCCUGGACUUCCUGGUCCUCCUGCUCCCAAAACUGCCUUGCCCCGGGAGGGGGCCCUGGCUGGCGCAGUCGUUCCUGACUCUGCCCCAGCCCUGGGGAUUCAUCCUGCCCAGGAGACGCCACCCAGGAGGAGCCCUGCAGCCCCCCUGUAUGCCCAGUGCCAAGCGUCUGGGGUCUGUGGGCUCCCUGGUCCACUUGCUCAGCCCCCUGUGAUGGAGGCAUCCAGACACGUGGGCGCAGCUGCUCCAGCUUGGCUCCAGGGGCCACCACGUGCCCAGGACCCCACAGUCAGACCAGGGACUGCAACACGCAGCCCUGCACAGCCCAGUGCCCAGAGAACAUGGUGUUCCGCUCAGCAGAGCAGUGUCACCAGGAGGGGGGUCCUUGCCCUCGGCUAUGCCUGACGCAGGGCCCCGGGAUAGAGUGUACGGGCUUCUGCGCCCCCGGCUGCACCUGCCCCCCUGGUCUCUUCCUGCACAAUGCUAGCUGCCUGCCCCGCAGCCAGUGCCCCUGCCAGCUGUACGGGCAGCUCUAUGCAUCAGGAGCAAUGGCUCGCCUGGACUCCUGCAACAACUGCUCCUGUGUCUCCGGUGAGAUGGCAUGCACCUCGGAGCGCUGCCCAGUGGCCUGUGGCUGGAGUCCCUGGACCCCGUGGAGUCUCUGUAGCCGCAGCUGCAACGUGGGCAUUCGGUGCUGCUUCCGGGCAGGCACUGCACCCCCAGCUGCCUUUGGGGGUGCUGAGUGCCAAGGCCCCACCAUGGAGGCUGAAUUCUGCAGCCUGCGGCCAUGUCCAGGUCCUGGUGGGGAGUGGGGCCCUUGGUCUCCGUGCUCCGUGCCCUGUGGUGGUGGCUACAGGAACCGCACCCGAGGCAGCGGCCUGCGCAGCCUCAUGGAGUUUUCCACCUGUGGCCUGCAGCCCUGCGCAGGGCCAGUGCCUGGCAUGUGUCCCAGGGACAAGCAGUGGCUGGACUGUGCCCAGGGCCCUGCCUCUUGUGCAGAGCUCAGCGCCCCAGGAGGGACUAACCAGACCUGCCACCCUGGCUGCCACUGCCCCUCUGGGAUGCUUCUGCUGAACAACGUGUGUGUGCCCACCCAGGACUGCCCCUGUGCCCACGAGGGGCACCUCUACCCCCCGGGCAGCACUGUGGUUCGUCGUUGUGAAAACUGCUCCUGUGUCUCCGGGCUCAUCGCCAACUGCAGCUCCUGGCCUUGUGCGGAGAGUGAGCCCACGUGGUCACCCUGGACCCCUUGGAGCCAGUGUUCAGCCUCCUGCGGGCCUGCCCGGCGCCAUUGGCGCCGGUUCUGUGCCAGGUCCCCCAGUGCAGUGCCAUCCACCAUGGCUCCGCUGCCCCUGCCAGCCACCCCCACACCUCUCUGCUCAGGCCCCGAGGCUGAAGAGGAGCCAUGUCUCCUGCAGGGGUGUGAUCGAGCUGGGGGAUGGGGUCCAUGGGGGCCCUGGUCCCACUGUAGCCGGAGCUGUGGGGGAGGCCUGCGGAGCCGGACCAGGGCCUGUGACCAGCCCCCACCCCAGGGCCUGGGGGAUUACUGCGAGGGGCCACGGGCACAGGGGGAGGUCUGCCAGGCUCUGCCCUGCCCAGUGACCAACUGCACUGCCAUUGAAGGGGCCGAGUAUAGCCCCUGUGGCCCUCCGUGCCCUCGCUCCUGUGAUGACCUAGUGCACUGCGUGUGGCGCUGCCAGCCUGGCUGCUACUGCCCACCAGGCCAGGUACUGAGUUCCAACGGGGCCAUCUGCGUGCAGCCUGGUCACUGCAGCUGCCUGGACAUGCUGACCGGGCAGCGGCACCAUCCGGGUGCUCGGCUGGCAAGGCCUGACGGCUGCAACCACUGGCACCAUGACCCGCGUCUGAUAGGCGAGGAUGCUGAAGCUGACCCUGUGUGUCUGCAGGGGCUGGGCAUGUGCUCGGCGGCAGGAGGGGCAUCUCUUGCCCUGCCCUGCCCUGGGAGCCACACGCAGAGUCGCCCUUGCCAGGAAAAUUCCACCCAGUGCACAGACUGCGGGGGUGGCCAGAGUCUGCACCCCUGUGGGCAGCCCUGCCCCCGCUCCUGCCAGGACCUGUCCCCUGGGAGUGUGUGCCAGCCAGGCUCUGUGGGCUGCCAGCCCAGUUGUGGGUGCCCCCUGGGCCAGCUCUCCCAGGACGGGCUGUGCGUGCCCCCAGCCCACUGCCGCUGCCAGUACCAGCCUGGAGCCAUGGGGAUCCCUGAGAACCAGAACCGCUCAGCAGGGUCUAGGUUUAGCUCCUGGGAGAGCCUGGAACCCGGAGAGGUGGUCACUGGGCCAUGUGACAACUGCACCUGUGUGGCAGGCAUUCUGCAAUGCCAGGAGGUGCCUGACUGCCCGGACCCUGGGGUGUGGAGCUCUUGGGGCCCUUGGGAAGACUGCAGUGUUUCGUGUGGGGGCGGGGAGCAGCUGCGCUCCCGGUGCUGUGCUCGUCCUCCCUGCCCAGGGCCUGCCCGCCAGAGCCGCACAUGCAGCACACAGGUCUGCAGAGAGGCAGGCUGCCCGGCUGGCCGCCUGUACCGUGAAUGCCAGCCUGGCGAGGGAUGCCCCUUCUCAUGUGCCCACGUCACGCAGCAGGUGGGCUGCUUCUCCGAGGGCUGCGAGGAGGGCUGCCACUGCCCCGAGGGCACCUUCCAGCACCGCCUGGCCUGUGUGCAGGAGUGCCCUUGUGUGCUGACAGCCUGGCUGCUGCAGGAGCUGGGAGCCACCACAGGUGACCCUGGUCAGCCCCUGGGGCCUGGAGAUGAGCUGGACUCGGGCCAGACACUUCGUACAAGCUGUGGUAACUGCUCGUGUGCACACGGGAAGCUGUCUUGCUCCCUGGACGACUGCUUCGAGGCCGAUGGUGGUUUCGGUCCCUGGAGUCCGUGGGGCCCGUGCUCCCGCUCCUGUGGAGGGCUGGGCACCCGUACCCGCAGCCGCCAGUGUGUGCUCACCAUGCCCACCCCCAGUGGUCAGGGCUGCCGGGGGCCCCGCCAGGACCUCGAGUACUGCCCCAGCCCAGACUGCUGUGGGGCUGAAGAGUCCACGGUGGAGCCAGUGACAGGCCUUCCAGGUGGCUGGGGCCCGUGGUCCUCCUGGUUCCCCUGCUCCAGAAGCUGCACGGACCCUGCUUGCCCUGCAUGGCGCAGCCGCACCCGCCUCUGCCUGGCUAACUGCAUCAUGGGGGGCCCAUUACAGGAGCGCCCCUGCAACCUGCCCUCAUGCGCAGAGCUGCCCGUGUGCCCUGGCCCUGGCUGUGGGGCUGGGAACUGUUCCUGGACCUCCUGGGCCCCGUGGGAACCUUGCUCCCACAGCUGCGGGGUGGGCCAGCAGUGCCGCCUGCGGGCAUACCGUCCCCCUGGGCCCGGCGGGCACUGGUGCCCCAACAUCCUUACUGCCUACCAAGAGUGCCGCUUCUGCAACCUGCGAGCCUGCCCAGUGCCCGGGGGCUGGUCACGCUGGAGUCCCUGGUCCUGGUGUGACCGCAGCUGUGGGGGAGGCCAAUCCCUGAGAAGCCGCAGCUGCUCAAGCCCCCCAUCCAAGAACGGGGGAGCCCCCUGUGCUGGGGAGCGGCACCAGGCCCGCCUCUGCAAUCCCAUGCCUUGUGAGGCCGGCUGCCCAGCAGGCAUGGAGGUGGUCACCUGUGCCAACCGCUGCCCCCGCCGCUGCUCAGACCUCCAGGAGGGAAUUGUGUGUCAGGACGACCAGGUCUGCCAGAAGGGCUGCCGCUGCCCAAAGGGGUCCCUGGAGCAGGAUGGUGGCUGCGUGCCAAUUGGGCACUGUGACUGCACCGAUGCCCAGGGCCACAGCUGGGCCCCGGGGAGCCAGCACCAGGAUGCCUGCAACAACUGCUCAUGCCAAGCUGGGCAGCUCUCCUGCACGGCUCAGCCCUGCCCGCCUCCCACCCACUGUGCCUGGAGCCGCUGGUCAGCCUGGAGUCCCUGCAGCCACUCAUGCGGGCCCGGAGGGCAGCAGAGCCGCUUCCGGUCCUCCACGUCGGGCUCGUGGGCCCCAGAGUGUCGGGAGGAGCAGUCCCAGAGCCAGCCCUGCCCUCAGCCCUCGUGCCCACCCCUGUGCCUGCAGGGCACUCGCUCCCGCACCCUGGGGGACAGCUGGCUGCAGGGGGAGUGCCAGCGGUGCUCCUGCACCCCGGAGGGUGUGAUCUGCGAAGACACGGAGUGUGCAGUGCCUGAGGCCUGGAUGCUGUGGUCCUCCUGGUCCGACUGCCCUGUCUCCUGUGGAGGUGGAAACCAGGUCCGAACCUGGGCCUGCAGGGCCGCAGCCCCUCACCACAGGAGCCCACCCUGCCUGGGCCCUGACACCCAGACCCAGCCCUGCGGGCAGCAGCCUUGCCUAGGGCUGCUGGAGGCCUGCUCCUGGGGCCCGUGGGGGCCCUGUUCCCGCAGCUGUGGCCCGGGCCUGGCCUCUUGCUCUGGGUCCUGCCCCUGCCUGAUGGCCAAGGCCGACCCCACCUGCAACGGCACCUUCCUCCACCUGGAUACCCAGGGCUGCUACCCAGGGCCCUGCCCAGAGGAGUGUGUGUGGAGCAGCUGGAGCAGCUGGAUGCGCUGCUCUUGCUGGGUGCUGGUGCAGCAGCGCUACCGACACCAGGGCCCGGCGUCCCGAGGGGCCAGGGCAGGCGCCCCCUGCACAAGGCUGGAUGGCCACUUCCGGCCUUGCCUUAUCGGCAACUGCUCUGAGGACAGCUGCAUGCCUCCCUUUGAGUUCCAUGCCUGCGGCUCCCCCUGUGCUGGGCUCUGUGCCACACACCUGAGCCAUCAGCUCUGCCAGGACCUGCCACCGUGCCAGCCGGGCUGCUACUGCCCCAAGGGGCUGCUGGAGCAGGCUGGGGGCUGCAUUCCCCCGGAGGAGUGUAACUGCUGGCAUACCUCAGCAGCGGGAGCCGGGAUGACCUUGGCCCCUGGGGUCCACCUGCAGCUGGGCUGUAAGGAGUGUGAAUGCCGGCGUGGGGAGCUGCACUGCACCAGCCAGGGCUGUCAAGGUCUUCUGCCUCUGAGUGAGUGGUCUGAGUGGUCGCCCUGUGGGCCCUGCCUGCCGCCCAGCGCCCUGGCCCCUGCCUCCAGGACUGCCCUAGAGGAGCGCUGGCUCCGAGACCCAACUGGCCUCUCCCCCACCUCGGCCCCGCUGCUGGCUUCAGAGCAGCACCGCCACCGGCUGUGUCUGGAUCCUGCAACAGGGAGGCCCUGGACUGGAGCCCCUCACCUCUGCACCGCACCCCUCAGCCAGCAGCGCCUCUGCCCUGACCCUGGAGCCUGCCCUGACUCAUGCCAGUGGAGUCUGUGGGGGCCAUGGAGCCCCUGCCAGGUGCCCUGCAGUGGGGGGUUCAGGCUACGCUGGAGAGAGGCAGAGACCCUCCGUGCAGGAGGCUGCCGGGGGCCAUGGGCUCAGACAGAAAGCUGCAACAGAGGGCCCUGCCCAGGUGAGAGCUGCGAGGCCCAAGACACUGUAUUCACCCUGGACUGUGCCAACCAGUGCCCACGCAGCUGUGCCGACCUCUGGGACCGCGUUCAGUGUCUGCAGGGACCCUGCCGCCCAGGCUGCCGCUGUCCCCCUGGCCAGCUGGUCCAGGAUGGGCACUGUGUGCCGAUCUCCUCUUGCCGCUGUGGCCUCCCCAGUGCCAAUGCCUCUUGGGAGCUGGCCCCGGCCCAGGCAGUGCAGCUGGACUGCCAAAACUGCACCUGUGUCAACGGGUCCCUGGUGUGCCCACACCAGGAGUGUCCAGUCCUUGGGCCUUGGUCAGCCUGGAGCAGUUGCUCGGCCCCCUGUGGUGGGGGCACUAUGGAGCGACAUCGGACCUGCGAGGGGGGUCCUGGGGUGGCACCAUGCCAGGCCCAGGACACAGAGCAACGGCAGGAGUGUAACCUGCAGCCCUGCCCUGAGUGCCCCCCUGGCCAGGUGCUUAGCACCUGUGCCACCUCAUGCCCGCGCCUCUGCUGGCAUCUGCAGCCUGGUGCCAUCUGUGUGCAGGAGCCCUGCCAGCCUGGCUGUGGCUGCCCUGGAGGGCAGCUGGUGCACAAUGGCACGUGUGUGCCUCCCACUGCCUGCCCCUGCACCCAGCAUUCUCUGCCCUGGGGCCUCACCCUGACCCUGGAAGAGCAGGCCCAGGAGCUACCCCCAGGGACUGUGCUCACCCGGAACUGCACCGGCUGUGUCUGCCACGGUGGAGCCUUCAGCUGCUCCCUCGUUGACUGUCAGGAGUGCCCCCCUGGGGAAAUGUGGCAGCAGGUGGCCCCGGGGGAGCUGGGGCUCUGCGAGCAGACGUGCCUGGAGAUGAACGCCACAGAGACCCAGAGUAACUGCAGUUCAGCUCGAGCCUCGGGCUGCGUGUGCCAGCCCGGGCACUUCCGCAGCCAGGCAGGCCCCUGCGUCCUGCCUGCGAGUGCUGGCACCUCGGGCAUCCCCGCCUGCCUGGAUCUGAAUGGCAGGAGGCCUGUGAGAGCUGCCUCUGCCUCAGUGAGAGGCCUGUCUGCACCCAGCACUGCUCCCCACUCACCUGUGCUCAGGGCGAGGAGAUGGUGCUGGAGCCAGGGAGCUGCUGUCCCUCUUGCCGCAGGGAGGCUCCGGAGGAGCAGUCGCCCUCCUGCCAGCUCCUCACGGAGGUUCGAAACUUCACCAAAGGGACCUGUUACCUGGACCAGGUAGAAGUGAGCUACUGCAGUGGGUACUGCCCAUCCAGCACCCAUGUCGUGCCAGAGGAGCCAUACCUGCAGAGCCAGUGUGACUGCUGCAGCUACCGUCUAGACCCGGAGAGCCCUGUGCGGAUCCUGAACCUGCGCUGUCUGGGUGGCCACACAGAGCCUGUGGUGCUGCCGGUCAUCCACAGCUGUCAGUGCAGCUCCUGCCAGGGAGGUGACUUCUCAAAGCGCUAACAGGCUCCGCUGGGUGAGUCCACAGCUGUCCCUCUUGUGAUCGUGGGACUCAGCAGCACUGACCACGUCCUUCUACGCUCUCUCACCUGCCCCCAACUGGGGGCCCAUGACUUGGCAUUAGCAUGUUCCAAAUAAAGUGAUACU